UGGGGAAUAUUGCACAAUGGGCGAAAGCCUGAUGCAGCAACGCCGCGUGAGGGACGACGGCCUUCGGGUUGUAAACCUCUUUUAGCAAGGAAGAAGCGAAAGUGACGGUACUUGCAGAAAAAGCGCCGGCUAACUACGUGCCAGCAGCCGCGGUAAUACGUAGGGCGCAAGCGUUAUCCGGAAUUAUUGGGCGUAAAGAGCUCGUAGGCGGUUUGUCGCGUCUGCUGUGAAAACCCGAGGCUCAACCUCGGGCCUGCAGUGGGUACGGGCAGACCAGGGUGCGGUAGGGGAGAUUGGAACUCCUGGUGUAGCGGUGGAAUGCGCAGAUAUCAGGAAGAACACCGAUGGCGAAGGCAGAUCUCUGGGCCGUAACUGACGCUGAGGAGCGAAAGGGUGGGGAGCAAACAGGCUUAGAUACCCUGGUAGUCCACCCCGUAAACGUUGGGAACUAGUUGUGGGUCCAUUCCACGGAUUCCGUGACGCAGCUAACGCAUUAAGUUCCCCGCCUGGGGAGUACGGCCGCAAGGCUAAAACUCAAAUGAAUUGACGGGGUCAUAGCUGUUUCCU
rnacentral:rRNA from 1 species